rnacentral:rRNA from 1 species
ACCUUGAAAAAUCAGCGGGGAAAGAAGACCCUGUUGAGCUUGACUCCAGUCUGGCAUUGUUCGGAGACAUGCCGGGGCGUAGCAUAAGUGGGAGGCGCGGAUUACGCGGUCGGCGUCGAGAGGCGUCGGUCGUGCCGUGGCGGCUUUGAAAUACCACUACUCGCAUCGUUUCCUUACUUACUCGGUGGUGCGGAACGCGUGCUGCGUGGUCCGUGGCGUUCGGGCGAGUCGGUGUUCGUUGCGCGAUUACGGUCGUUGCGCGAUAUCGGCUCCCCUUCGUCCGUAGUGACUCGCCGUAACGAUGAAUUCCCGGUCGAGUUAAGCGCGAUCGUCCCUCGCGGAUCUUUCGCGCGAUCCGAUUCGAGGACACCGCCAGGUGGGGAGUUUGACUGGGGCGGUACAUCUGUCAAAGAAUAACGCAGGUGUCCUAAGGCCAGCUCAGCGAGGACGGAAACCUCGCGUAGAGCAAAAGGGCAAAAGCUGGCUUGAUCUCGGACGCUCAGUACGCGUAGAGACUGCGAAAGCAUCGGCCUAUCGAUCCUCUCGUCCCGAGCUGAAGAGUUUUCA